rnacentral:rRNA from 1 species
GCUAUCUGCAGUCGAGGGGCAGCGCAGGUAGCAAUACUGGGUGGCGACCGGCAAACGGGUGCGGAACACGUACGCAACCUUCCUUCAAGAGAUGGAUAGCCCGAAGAAAUUCGGAUUAAUACAUCGUAAAAUCACAGGGUGGCAUCACUUAAUGAUUAAAGAAUUUCGCUUGAAGAUGGGCGUGCGCCUGAUUAGGUAGUUGGUGAGGUAACGGCUCACCAAGCCGACGAUCAGUAACUGGCGUGAGAGCGCGACCAGUCACACGGGCACUGAGACACGGGCCCGACUCCUACGGGAGGCAGCAGUAAGGAAUAUUGGUCAAUGGACGCAAGUCUGAACCAGCCAUGCCGCGUGAAGGAUGAAGGUCCUCUGGAUUGUAAACUUCUUUUAUCUGGGACGAAAUCACUUUUUUCUAAGAGUGUUGACGGUACCAGAGGAAUAAGCACCGGCUAACUCCGUGCCAGCAGCCGCGGUAAUACGGAGGGUGCAAGCGUUAUCCGGAUUCACUGGGUUUAAAGGGUGCGUAGGCGGAUUUGUAAGUCCGUGGUGAAAUCUCCAGGCUUAACCUGGAAACUGCCAUGGAUACUAUAAGUCUUGAAUAUUGUGGAGGUUAGCGGAAUAUGUCAUGUAGCGGUGAAAUGCAUAGAUAUGACAUAGAACACCAAUUGCGAAGGCAGCUGGCUACACAAAUAUUGACGCUGAGGCACGAAAGCGUGGGGAUCAAACAGGAUUAGAUACCCUGGUAGUCCACGCCCUAAACGAUGAUUACUCGACAUUUGCGAUAUACAGUAAGUGUCUGAGCGAAAGCAUUAAGUAAUCCACCUGGGAAGUACGACCGCAAGGUUGAAACU